UACUUCAAAAACGGCUGCAGUCCAGACUCAGACUGCAUUUGUCUUUUCCCUUUUCACCUGUCAGCUCUGUGCUCCUGCCUCCUCAGCUAUGCCACCAGCUUCGAGUGUGAGUGACUCUUAUAAAGGAAGAAAGAGGAAAUAGGUAGGCAGAAGAUUUUAUUUGUUGGUAACACCAAGUCAGGAGGAUGGAGAAAAUAUGAAAAUACUAAUGGGAAGACUUAUAGCCACAUAUAAAAGAAAAAUGCAAGAUUUAGGAUAUUGUAAGAUCUGAUAUAAUGCAAUAGGUUUCAGUUCAAUAUGCCUGUAUAUAAUAAAGCUUUAAAG